rnacentral:rRNA from 1 species
AGCAGCCGCGGUAAUUCCAGCUCCAAUAGCGUAUAUUAAAGUUGUUGCAGUUAAGAAGCUCGUAGUUGAAUUUCGGAAUCUGUCCGUUGGUCGGGCUUAACUGUCCGUACUGAUGUGAUGGGUUCUUACCUUCUGAAUAACCAGCAUGCCAUUAAUUUAGUGUGUUGGGGAAGCAGGACUAUUACCUUGAAAAAAUUAGAGUGCUCAAAGCAGGCUAGCGCCUGAAUACAUUAGCAUGGAAUAAUAGAAUAGGACGGCAUGGUUCUAUUUUGUUGGUUUCUAGGAUCACCGUAAUGAUUAAUAGGGAUAGUUGGGGGCAUUAGUAUUCAAUUGUCAGAGGUGAAAUUCUUGGAUUUAUUGAAGACUAACUUCUGCGAAAGCAUUUGCCAAGGAUGUUUUCAUUAAUCAAGAACGAAAGUUAGGGGAUCGAAGACGAUCAGAUACCGUCGUAGUCUUAACCAUAAACUAUGCCGACUAGGGAUCGGACGAUGUUAAUUUUAUAAUGACUUCG